GAUGAACGCUGGCGGCGUGCCUAAUACAUGCAAGUCGAGCGAACGGACGAGAAGCUUGCUUCUCUGAUGUUAGCGGCGGACGGGUGAGUAACACGUGGAUAACCUACCUAUAAGACUGGGAUAACUUCGGGAAACCGGAGCUAAUACCGGAUAAUAUUUUGAACCGCAUGGUUCAAAAGUAAAAGACGGCCUUGCUGUCACUUAUAGAUGGAUCCGCGCUGCAUUAGCUAGUUGGUAAGGUAACGGCUUACCAAGGCAACGAUGCAUAGCCGACCUGAGAGGGUGAUCGGCCACACUGGAACUGAGACACGGUCCAGACUCCUACGGGAGGCAGCAGUAGGGAAUCUUCCGCAAUGGGCGAAAGCCUGACGGAGCAACGCCGCGUGAGUGAUGAAGGUCUUCGGAUCGUAAAACUCUGUUAUUAGGGAAGAACAUAUGUGUAAGUAACUGUGCACAUCUUGACGGUACCUAAUCAGAAAGCCACGGCUAACUACGUG
rnacentral:rRNA from 1 species